rfam:Dipodomys ordii contig_6124, whole genome shotgun sequence.
UGGCUCAGCGGUAGAGUGCUUGCCUUGCAUGCAUGAGGCCCUGGGUUCGAUUCCUCAG